UACGUAUGGGGCAAGCGUUAUCCGGAUUUACUGGGUGUAAAGGGAGCGUAGGCGGCUUAGCAAGCCUGAUGUGAAAUACCGGGGCCCAACCCCGGGGCUGCAUUGGGAACUGUUAGGCUGGAGUGCCGGAGAGGCAGGCGGAAUUCCUAGUGUAGCGGUGAAAUGCGUAGAUAUUAGGAGGAACACCAGUGGCGAAGGCGGCCUGCUGGACGGUGACUGACGCUGAGGCUCGAAAGCGUGGGGAGCAA
rnacentral:rRNA from 1 species